rnacentral:lncRNA from 1 species
CUUUCAAACCGCAGAAUAAGCUUCCUUUUCCAUGUCCAGCCGCAUAUGACCUGUAUACUAGCGCCUCUGAUGCAUAUAUCACUGUAUACCAGUGCAAAGAGAGGUCCUUUUAGGACUUUGUCGCGAGGUUUUGACUCGAUGAAUUGUGGGCCUCCUUGGCCCACUAAAGGAGAUGCGGGGUUCGAGACAUACUCAGCAUUACAUGCGCCAAAACAAAUGAGAUAGGGAAUUAAUAUAUGUUUAGUUCGGUAAAUAAUAAUGAAAGGGAAACACUCACAUGCAUCGAAACACCAAAUGUGAUUUAGAACUAACACACAUUAAACAAAUACCGCAGUCAUGCAACAUAACAAAAUCCUUUUAACCCAUUACUUCAUUUUUGUCGAAAAAAAUACUAUGGCAGUAAGCACACAAUAAACAAGAACAAAUUUACGACUUCGAGGACAAAUAAAGUAAGGGUGCGAGACGCUGAACGGACAUAAACAAAUGCCUCCAUGCGUAAAGUUUUUCAUUCAAUACAAAGAUUAGCGCAAUAACAAAGGAAAUCAUUAGACCAUGUCUCAAGCUCAUAUCAAAUAAAGCAUUUCGGACGUAGUUCAUUUACAUUCUUUAUCCGUACAACCAUGGUCAUAAUAUAUCCAACAAAGAGCAACAUAAGCACGUAAAUCUAGGAAAAAGAUAAGCAAGAAAAGAGCCAAGUUUUAGUUCCGUGAACAAGCCAUUGCCUCAAGAGAAACAAGUUGCUAUUCCUAGCGAAGUCAUUUUAACUUCAUCACACUUCAGUGGGGGGUAAAGGAAGACGUUUCUAUCAGGUUAACCAAAAGGAAUAGAGUUGUCGCCUUAGGAAAAUUAAUCAAACAAAGGGGAUGAAAUUUAUCAUUAUAGGGAAAUUAUUUCAUGCUCUGGGAAGCUGUUAAUACUCAUGGUUAAUAUUUGGACUUGGAGAAUUUUUUUUUUUAUAACAAAUAAGUACUAAAAGUAGUAUGUUUAUAUAAAAAAAUUGAACUUUGAACGAAACCUAAAAAAAGAAAUAAUCUCAGAAAAUAAUCAGCUUUAAACUCCAAACAAAGUAAUGAAGUUCGGUGAAGUUCAUAAGGCAGUUGAUGCUAUUUGAGGCUACAGACUAUCGAAAUGAAGACGAGCCGUGAUAAAGCUUAUUUCAACUUCAAAAUUCGAUCGUUGUUGGUAUUAAACACGUAUAUUUUCUAACUAGAAACCAGCCCAAAUGAACGAUAACAAGAAACAACAAAGAAAAAAAACUAGGUGAAGUUAUUACAGAACACCAACGAGCAUUCAUACAAAAGAACCAAACAAGUCUAACUUUAACAUUAGACGAGAAAUUUAGUUACAGAUAUAAACUGGGUGAGUAGUUCACCUUUUCGGGGGCAGCGAGCUGGAACUACGAGUCGACCAAAGACCUACCACCACCGGAAUUUAAACAAAUUUGUCGGAUUUCAAGAGUUGUGUUCCUCGAGAAUCUUGGUUACGUGAGGUUAAAAGCAAGCGCCUUUAAAAAUCCAAUUUUUUCCCAAAAUCCUCUGCCUUUCUUCUUCUCAAUCUCCUCUAUUUAUAGAAGGAGAUACUGAUCUUUCAUCUUCAAAAUUCAAAAAUGGAGAAACACAUCCCAUAAAAUUUGGAUUUGACACUGUAACCUCUGACUUGGAUUGGAUUUUGGCAUGGAAGACACUCAAUUUUGAGCCAAAAGUCCACAACAAUGGCUCUAGCUCUGCAAAAUUGCAGAGAUAAGAUGGAAAAGAGAGACUUUCCGUGAUUUGGGGGCUUUGUCGUUGGAUUUUUGUGGUGUUGGCGGGUCUGAUGCGGGUUUCGUCGUUUGGAUUGGUUCGCCGGAAGUGGGUUGAAAACGGGUCGAUUUGGUUUGGGGUUAUCGGGUUUGUUGAACGUUGAUGAAGUUGCUGUUCGUUGUUGUCGCUGUUAUUUUGGUAUUGUCGUUGUUGGUUGUUGGAUGGUAGUUUUAGAUAUUUGAUUUAAAAUAAAAUGUGUU